GGGUUGUGAGGUUAAGCGACUAAGCGUACACGGUGGAUGCCCUGGCAGUCAGAGGCGAUGAAGGACGUGCUAAUCUGCGAAAAGCGUCGGUAAGGUGAUAUGAACCGUUAUAACCGGCGAUGUCCGAAUGGGGAAACCCAGUGCAAUUCGUUGCACUAUCGUUAACUGAAUACAUAGGUUAACGAGGCGAACCGGGGGAACUGAAACAUCUAAGUACCCCGAGGAAAAGAAAUCAACCGAGAUUCCCCAGUAGCGGCGAGCGAACGGGGAGCAGCCCAGAGUCUGAAUCAGCUUGUGUGUUAGUGGAACGGUCUGGAAAGUCCGACGGUACAGGGUGAUAGUCCCGUACACCAAAAUGCACAGGCUGUGAACUCGAAGAGUAGGGCGGGACACGUGGUAUCCUGUCUGAAUAUGGGGGGACCAUCCUCCAAGGCUAAAUACUCCUGACUGACCGAUAGUGAACCAGUACCGUGAGGGAAAGGCGAAAAGAACCCCGGCGAGGGGAGUGAAAAAGAACCUGAAACCGUGUACGUACAAGCAGUGGGAGCACCUUCGGGUGUGACUGCGUACCUUUUGUAUAAUGGGUCAGCGACUUAUAUUCUGUAGCAAGGUUAACCGUAUAGGGGAGCCGCAGGGAAACCGAGUCUUAACUGGGCGUUAAGUUGCAGGGUAUAGACCCGAAACCCGGUGAUCUAGCCAUGGGCAGGUUGAAGGUUGGGUAACACUAACUGGAGGACCGAACCGACUAAUGUUGAAAAAUUAGCGGAUGACUUGUGGCUGGGGGUGAAAGGCCAAUCAAACCGGGAGAUAGCUGGUUCUCCCCGAAAGCUAUUUAGGUAGCGCCUCGUGAACUCAUCUUCGGGGGUAGAGCACUGUUUCGGCUAGGGGGUCAUCCCGACUUACCAACCCGAUGCAAACUACGAAUACCGAAGAAUGUUAUCACGGGAGACACACGGCGGGUGCUAACGUCCGUCGUGAAGAGGGAAACAACCCAGACCGCCAGCUAAGGUCCCAAAGUCAUGGUUAAGUGGGAAACGAUGUGGGAAGGCACAGACAGCCAGGAUGUUGGCUUAGAAGCAGCCAUCAUUUAAAGAAAGCGUAAUAGCUCACUGGUCGAGUCGGCCUGCGCGGAAGAUGUAACGGGGCUAAACCAUGCACCGAAGCUGCGGCAGCGACACUAUGUGUUGUUGGGUAGGGGAGCGUUCUGUAAGCCUGCGAAGGUGUGCUGUGAGGCAUGCUGGAGGUAUCAGAAGUGCGAAUGCUGACAUAAGUAACGAUAAAGCGGGUGAAAAGCCCGCUCGCCGGAAGACCAAGGGUUCCUGUCCAACGUUAAUCGGGGCAGGGUGAGUCGACCCCUAAGGCGAGGCCGAAAGGCGUAGUCGAUGGGAAACAGGUUAAUAUUCCUGUACUUGGUGUUACUGCGAAGGGGGGACGGAGAAGGCUAUGUUAGCCGGGCGACGGUUGUCCCGGUUUAAGCAUGUAGGCUGAUUGUCCAGGCAAAUCCGGAUAAUCAAGGCUGAGGUGUGAUGACGAGGCACUACGGUGCUGAAGUAACAAAUGCCCUGCUUCCAGGAAAAGCCUCUAAGCAUCAGGUAACAUUAAAUCGUACCCCAAACCGACACAGGUGGUCAGGUAGAGAAUACCAAGGCGCUUGAGAGAACUCGGGUGAAGGAACUAGGCAAAAUGGUGCCGUAACUUCGGGAGAAGGCACGCUGGUGUGUAGGUGAAGUCCCUGCGGAUGGAGCUGAGACCAGUCGAAGAUACCAGCUGGCUGCAACUGUUUAUUAAAAACACAGCACUGUGCAAACACGAAAGUGGACGUAUACGGUGUGACGCCUGCCCGGUGCCGGAAGGUUAAUUGAUGGGGUUAUCCGUAAGGAGAAGCUCUUGAUCGAAGCCCCGGUAAACGGCGGCCGUAACUAUAACGGUCCUAAGGUAGCGAAAUUCCUUGUCGGGUAAGUUCCGACCUGCACGAAUGGCGUAAUGAUGGCCAGGCUGUCUCCACCCGAGACUCAGUGAAAUUGAACUCGCUGUGAAGAUGCAGUGUACCCGCGGCAAGACGGAAAGACCCCGUGAACCUUUACUAUAGCUUGACACUGAACAUUGAGCCUUGAUGUGUAGGAUAGGUGGGAGGCUUUGAAGCGUGGACGCCAGUCUGCGUGGAGCCAACCUUGAAAUACCACCCUUUAAUGUUUGAUGUUCUAACGUUGGCCCCUGACCGGGGUUGCGGACAGUGUCUGGUGGGUAGUUUGACUGGGGCGGUCUCCUCCCAAAGCGUAACGGAGGAGCACGAAGGUUAGCUAAUCCUGGUCGGACAUCAGGAGGUUAGUGCAAUGGCAUAAGCUAGCUUGACUGCGAGCGUGACGGCGCGAGCAGGUGCGAAAGCAGGUCAUAGUGAUCCGGUGGUUCUGAAUGGAAGGGCCAUCGCUCAACGGAUAAAAGGUACUCCGGGGAUAACAGGCUGAUACCGCCCAAGAGUUCAUAUCGACGGCGGUGUUUGGCACCUCGAUGUCGGCUCAUCACAUCCUGGGGCUGAAGUAGGUCCCAAGGGUAUGGCUGUUCGCCAUUUAAAGUGGUACGCGAGCUGGGUUUAGAACGUCGUGAGACAGUUCGGUCCCUAUCUGCCGUGGGCGCUGGAGAAUUGAGGGGGGCUGCUCCUAGUACGAGAGGACCGGAGUGGACGCAUCACUGGUGUUCGGGUUGUCAUGCCAAUGGCACUGCCCGGUAGCUAAAUGCGGAAGAGAUAAGUGCUGAAAGCAUCUAAGCACGAAACUUGCCCCGAGAUGAGUUCUCCCUGAGACUUUAAGUCUCCUGAAGGAACGUUAAAGACGAUGACGUUGAUAGGCCGGGUGUGUAAGCGCAGCGAUGCGUUGAGCUAACCGGUACUAAUGAACCGUGAGGCUUAACCUUACAACGCCGAAG
rnacentral:rRNA from 1 species